rnacentral:rRNA from 1 species
GACGAACGCUGGCGGCGUGCUUAACACAUGCAAGUCGAACGGAAAGGCCCUGCUUUUGUGGGGUGCUCGAGUGGCGAACGGGUGAGUAACACGUGAGUAACCUGCCCUUGACUUUGGGAUAACUUCAGGAAACUGGGGCUAAUACCGGAUAGGAGCUCCGGCUGCAUGGUGGGGGUUGGAAAGUUUCGGCGGUUGGGGAUGGAUUCGCGGCUUAUCAGCUUUUUGGUGGGGUAGUGGCUUACCAAGGCUUUGACGGGUAGCCGGCAUGAGAGGGUGACCGGCCACAUUGGGACUGAGAUACGGCCCAGACUCCUACGGGAGGCAGCAGUGGGGAAUAUUGCACAAUGGGCGGAAGCCUGAUGAAGAAACGCCGCGUGCGGGAUGAAGGCCUUCGGGUUGUAAACCGCUUUCGCCUGUGACGAAGCGUGAGUGACGGUAAUGGGUAAAGAAGCACCGGCUAACUACGUG